CCUACGGGAGGCUGCAGUGGGGGAUAUUGGACAAUGGGGGCAACCCUGAUCCAGCCAUGCCGCGUGUGUGAAGAAGGCCCUCGGGUUGUAAAGCACUUUCAGUGAGGAAGAACGCCUGGUGGUUAAUACCCAUCAGGAAAGACAUCACUCACAGAAGAAGCACCGGCUAACUCCGUGCCAGCAGCCGCGGUAAUACGGAGGGUGCGAGCGUUAAUCGGAAUUACUGGGCGUAAAGCGCGCGUAGGUGGCUUGAUAAGCCGGUUGUGAAAGCCCCGGGCUCAACCUGGGAACGGCAUCCGGAACUGUCAAGCUAGAGUGCAGGAGAGGAAGGUAGAAUUCCCGGUGUAGCGGUGAAAUGCGUAGAGAUCGGGAGGAAUACCAGUGGCGAAGGCGGCCUUCUGGACUGACACUGACACUGAGGUGCGAAAGCGUGGGUAGCAAACAGGAUUAGAUACCCCUGUAGUC
rnacentral:rRNA from 1 species